GUCUCAGUUCGGAUCGGAGUCUGCAACCCGACUCCGUGAAGCUGGAUUCGCUAGUAAUCGCGCAUCAGCCAUGGCGCGGUGAAUACGUUCCCGGGCCUUGUACACACCGCCCGUCAAGCCAUGGAAGCCGGGGGUGCCUGAAGUGUGCAGCCGCAAGGAGCGCCCUAAGGUAAAACCGGUGACUGGGGCUAAGUCGUAACAAGGUAUC
rnacentral:rRNA from 1 species